rnacentral:lncRNA from 1 species
GGUACCAUUGCUAAAUGGUCACUUCGAUUGGUAUAAAAAAUUAUUCCUGUGCUACCGGCUUAGGUUCGGACCUAUGAGGUCACACACAUUAGAGUUCAUGAUCCGAUCGGAUGGUUGAUCAAUGAUUAAGAAUCAUUCUAGGGUUAAAUGAUCAAUAUGAUUGAUAUUUAACCCAGUGCAAGUGUUGCAGGAGGAUCGAUUAGCAAUUCGAUUGCUAAUUGGCUUAAUUUGAUUAAGCCAAUGGGCUGAGAUUAAGUUUAAUUAAAUAUAAUUUGAUUAAAUUAGAUUCUUAAUUAGGUUAAGACCUAUUUUAAUUAGAUUGAUCUAAUUUUGGUUUGAUUUGGUUUGAGAAACCAAAUUAAAACAAGUCAUAAGAUAGAAUCCUAGUAACACUAGGAUUCCACCUUGCGCCACAUAAGCCUUCCCCACACCCUCUCUCUCAUUCAAUGCCAAUCUCCUCUUAUUUUGUGCAACAAAAGCCCUCUCCUAGGUCUCUCCCACGUUCACUAAAGGUUUCCUCUCUUCUUUCUUACAUGGAAGGUGGUUUGGAUCAAAUCAAAGAGAAAUAAGUUUGGAUUUCGAAUUCUAUGAGAUAGAGUUUUAGAAAUCCAAAACUCUUUCAAUUUUGCACCAAAUUUAUCCAAAUUUUUUUUUGGAAUUUUUAUAGCUUUUAGGAUAUACAUUGUACACCCUUUUCUAGUAAUCCAUGCAUGAAAAUAAGGAGGAGGUGCUCAAGAGUUAGGCGCCCCUUAUCUUGCCAUGUUUGGAUAAGCCUUGACUAGGUAUU